rnacentral:rRNA from 1 species
GACGAACGCUGGCGGCGUGCUUAACACAUGCAAGUCGAACGGAAAGGCCCUGCUUUUGUGGGGUGCUCGAGUGGCGAACGGGUGAGUAACACGUGAGUAACCUGCCCUUGACUUUGGGAUAACUUCAGGAAACUGGGGCUAAUACCGGAUAGCAGCUCCUGCUGCAUGGUGGGGGUCGGAAAGUUUCGGCGGUUGGGGAUGGACGCGCGGCUUAUCAGCUUGUUGGUGGGGUAGUGGCUUACCAAGGCUUUGACGGGUAGCCGGCCUGAGAGGGUGACCGGCCACAUUGGGACUGAGAUACGGCCCAGACUCCUACGGGAGGCAGCAGUGGGGAAUAUUGCACAAUGGGCGGAAGCCUGAUGCAGCAACGCCGCGUGCGGGAUGACGGCCUUCGGGUUGUAAACCGCUUUCGCCUGUGACGAAGCGUGAGUGACGGUAAUGGGUAAAGAAGCACCGGCUAACUACGUG